UUCACCAUCCAUCCAACGACAGAAAGCAAGGACAGCAGAAAUCCAAGGACAGGAGGGAAAGGAACAUCUUACCUUCUCAGGAUAGUCUCUGGCAGCGUUAAUUACCGAGUAACCUCAUCCCAGAUCUGUGAUAUUAGUGACAAAGAUCUCACCAGCUCAGCAGGCCAUGAGCCAAACAGGCAGUGGAGGUGAUCAUUUCCCUCUAACCAGUAAAGGUGAGACAUACUUGAGUGCUUGAUUCAAUGGUGCCCAGUGACAAGAG